UACGUAGGUGGCAAGCGUUGUUCGGAAUUAUUGGGCGUAAAGGGCGCGUAGGUGGCCUUCUAAGUUGAACGUGAAAUCCCUGGGCUCAACCCAGGAACUGCGUCCAAGACUGGGAGGCUUGAAUCCGGGAGAGGGAUGCGGAAUUCCAGGUGUAGCGGUGAAAUGCGUAGAUAUCUGGAGGAACACCGGUGGCGAAGGCGGCAUCCUGGACCGGUAUUGACACUGAGGCGCGAAAGCCAGGGGAGCAAACGGG
rnacentral:rRNA from 1 species